rnacentral:sRNA from 1 species
UCAUUGUGCAGCCGAUCACCUCCUCCCGAUCGGCCGCGGCGACCAGCGGCACUCCUCCUCCCAGCCGCCUGGUCAUUAAUCAGAGCUCGGUGCACCUCCUCCCGCACCGGGCUCUUUUU